UGCAAAGGGAGAAGUCAGAGGUGGGAGAAGGCCGUGAGGUGAGACACCCAACUAGCACUUCAUGCCCUGGGGCAGGGGAGGGAGGCAGAGGGGAGAGGGCAGGAACAGGGCUUUUGCCCUCCCUAACCCCCAUAGGGAGACUGGGCAUGCAAAAGUCCCCUGUGUAGCCGGCAGCAGGGGGACAUGUGAAGACAUGGAGAAGGGGCUGGUGCUGGACCCACAGGGGCUUCUGGAAACUAGGGAGUGAGAUGCUUCCGGGCUGGCCUGGGCUCUUCCUGUGCAGCAGAGCUCAGCAGAGCUGCAGGGGAGGCACCUGCAGCCCAGAGCUGGGUACAACCCCCGUGGGCCUGCCAGAAUGGGACAUCUGAGCAAGGAGAGAACCAGCAAGAACCCAGCAACCUGGGGACCUGGGUUAGGAGUAAACCUCGCUGGGAGAAGAAUGUCAUAAGCUUAGGUUUGGUGCCUGCGGCCUGGCAAAGCUUAUGCAGGAGGGAGCAGAAUGUCCAAUGGGAUGCAGCGUGAGGCUCUGAGGGGGCUGCAUGCACACAGCACAGUGCAGACAUGCUGCAGAGAACGCAGAGCUAGAGUUGACACCCUCUGCCUCUCCUUACUUUGAGUGUGCUCUGUGGGCUGUGUGCAGGCCACUACGACCUCUGCAGUCCCCUUUUCAGGAGCCAGGCUCACCUGCAGCUUUUCCACUGCCUGGGCCAAGGGAUCGGGGGAGAUGGUAUUGCACCGGGGCCUGGUGGGAAGGCCCCUGCCAGGUUGAUGCUGUGUGAAAGCCACUCUGAAGCCCUGGCCUUCAUCUUAUAUGUGGAACUUCAUACAAUAGGGAGGCACUGGCUUUGGAUAGCUCUUGGCCGGCAUGUUUGUUCAGAGAUAUUUAAGUUAGUGUGGUUACUUUGGGAACUACUUCUGUUUGUCUUCAAACUCAGUGAGAGGCUGCUGGCAUGAUGGAUGUGAAAUUUAUUGUUUAUUGUGUGCUUAUUUAAGACUUUAAAAUGAAUGUGCAUCUAUUUUUAUAUAUUGAUCAUUUAUUUUUAAGAAAUAAAAAUUGCCUAGGCAACUGGUCAGUUUCCAGCUAAUUGGAUGAGAGAAGCAGCUGGUAUUUACGGAGCCUCAUAGAGUCACAGCCACCUCCCGGGUAUCUUGUUUGAGGCCACACAGCCAGGCCAGGCUCUUCCCAUGAUGGAUCUCCACCACCCUAGAGGCAGCAGGGAAGUGGGCAAAUUCCAGAGCCCACAGCAGCCAGGCAGGAGGGACAGAAGCAGAGCCUGUCUGCUGAGCUACAGAAGGCUGGGGGAUCUGGGGGGUGCAGUCCCCAGGAGGCGCUGGCCCUGCUCCCCAACGCCCAGCGCUCCUGACAUCUAGGCUGGAUAAUUCUUCCAGUGGCUGGACACUGUCCUCUCUGGUUCAGGGUGCCUAACCGUGUUCGUGGGUGAGAACACGAACCUUGGAGUCAGCUGUCUAACUUCGGCAUGUGCUGGUGACAGGGCGGUGGGCAGCUAUUUAACCUCUCAGUGAUUCAGUGGCCUCAUCAGUAAAAGUUUUCAUUUUUGGUAACGUCGGCUGAAACAGUGGCUGCUUACACAGGCACAGUGAAGUGCAGCCUGCAGGAGACACUUGAUGACCUAAGCAGAACAACCCACCUACCAGAAAUAUCCAGGUUGGCCACAGUAGGAGAGGAGCCCUCUAGUUCAGUGAUACCAGCGCUCUCACUGGAAGAAAUGAGGAGGGCCUUUCUCCAUGAAAAUGAGCGUGACAGAAAACUGCAGGUGCCGGAGCCCCAGAGGCCGUUCUGUAAGAAGCAGAAAAAGACAUCACUUGAGACUGAACUUGCAUGAAAAAUGAGGCUGUAUAAGGAAAAUAAAUUCCAACUUUGGAAUUCUCCAGUUUCCCCUAUCUUAGCCUUCAUACUGAUCCUUUAGCAAGAUAGGUGGUUACCAGUGGUUUCACAUUCAGCACUGUCUACAAGAGGUUUUGCCUCUAGAAGUUACAAGGACCAGGGAAUACAUAGGAAGAAACCACGAAGAUAUCUUGGACACAAAUAGAAUUUCAAGUAGGGUGUGUAUGGAUGUCACAUUUGAUAAAAAGGACAAAGUCUUAUUUUACAUAUGUUUUCUAUACUUAGAUUUUGUGCUAAAUUUCAUUGCAAAGCAAAUUGAUUUGUUUGAAAAUAAUCACGAAAUUGAGUGGC
rnacentral:lncRNA from 1 species